GGCCUGUUGAAACCCCCUCCCUAAGGGUUAGGGAGGCUUCUCCACCAUCCCUUCAUGUCAUCAGAAAUAGUUGCACUCUUGUGCGGUAAUCACGUGUCAGCCUCUUACCUUCCUGGCCCUUCCAUCUGUAGGCUCAGCACCCUCCUGUUCCCGGGCCAGGAAGGCCCAGCUCAGCUCCUCACUGCAGAAGCAGCUAGGACCCCUCCUCACCCAGCUCUCCUAGCCCCCGGCUCUUGGUUCCUUAAAUUCUUUGCUCCAGCCUGGAGGCCAGAUGGCCCGCCAUUCAGAAUUGAGCCCAGUGUGCAUGACCAGGGUGGCUGGUGGAGACUGGACCAGGCCUGCUCCAGGCCAGCUUCUGCUCCCUGCGUCCUGAACUCCUGUCCUCAGCUGGAGGGGUCACUCACAAAUGCCAUUUGGAUUGUAUCCCCAUAGGCCCUGCUUGAAAUACUUCAGAGGGUGGCGUCAGAUCCCUACUAGGGUGGUGUGAGAAAGGGAGAUGUUUUACAGACAUGUUUUGAAUCCGCGUGGAGACCCUUCAUCAACGUAGGCAUCGAGCGAAUUCUGGCCCAGAACCCUCCACUCCCUCCUGAGCUCGGUUUGUCAGUGUCAUUAUAAAUGGUGCUCAGGGGCCCAGGGGAGAGGCCUGAAGUUUUCAGAGAAGCCUGAUGCGGUGGUCACCGCUGGGACUCCCUUGCUUCCUACUGCAACCAUCCCAGCCUCCUUGCCCUUGGGGGUGGGGAAAGGAUGCUGAGGGGUUCUCUCCCCUCCGCAGAGGCCCCCCGGCAGGACUGAGCCCCAGUGGUUUGCAGAGACACCCUCUUUUGGCUUUUUCCUGGUCCCUGCUUUCCCACUCCCUUAUAGGUGUUGCUGGGGUCAUUUUCUGUUCUUGUUUAAGGUUAUUUAUUUAUUUGGGGGGGGGAGGGGCAGAGAGAGAGAGAGAGAGAGAGAGAGAGAGAGAGAGAGAGAGAGGGAAUCCCAAGCAGGCUCUGCACUGUCAGCGCAGAGCCCGACGUGGGGCUCAAACCCACGAACCGUGAGACCAUGCGUGAGCUGAAGCCCACAGUCAGCUGCUUAACCGACUGAGCCACCCAGGUGCCCCUGCUGGGCUCAUUUUCUGAAUAGACUAUUUGCAUGUAAGUCCUUGUCUCCAAGUCAGCUGUGGAGGAACGCAGCCUAAAACACUGGGGUGAGCGAUUAUUGGGCCCGGCGUUCUUUCAAGGGCUUGCUCUCUACAAACCUACUUAAUCCUCACCCCUGCGAAGCAGGUGCUGUUGAUAUUACUCCAUUUCCCAGAGAUAAAGAAACUGAGGCACAGAGAGGGUGGGACACUUAUAAAGGUCACACAGCAAAUAAGUGGUGGAGGCAGGAUCCACACCAGCUGUCUGACCACAGAGCCACAACUCUUAAGAGUAAAUCUCCAUGGGGGGUGGGGUGCCUGGGUGGCUCAGUUGGUUAAGUGUCUGACUUCAGCUCAGGUCAUGAUCUUGCGGUUUGUGGGUUCAAGCCCCGAGUUAGGCUGUGUGCCGACAGCUCAGAGCCUGGAACCUGCUUCGGAUGCUGUGCCUCCCUCUCUCCCUCUGCCCUUCCCCUGCUCGUGCUCUCUCUCAAAGAAUGAAUAAACCAUUAAAAAUUUUUUUUUUUAAAAAGGAGUAAAUCUCCCCAUUAUCUGGCUAAGGAAAUCGAGGCACAGGAAGGCUAAGGUGCUUGCCUGAAGUCACACAGCUACACACUGAGGUGCUAGGAUUACAGUUCCAGAGCUGGGAUGCUUAGCUGCCUUGCUCGCCUCUUCUUCACGCUGAUCCUGGUCCGUGCACCGUGGUGCUGGGUGCCUGGUUGCCCCGCGGGCCAGUUGUGGCUCUGUGCACCGCGCGCAGCGGGCAGAGCGUGCUGUAUCGGCACUAUUCGCCUUACUUAUGUAACCCGAGAUCUGCUGACUGCAGAAAACCGUGCGCCCACGGAGAUAUGGAUCGGGUGUUCUCCUCUGAGCCAUCGGUCCCCAGCCAGCCACAGGUGCUGCAGUGAGAGGGCUCGGCCGUCUCCAGAUGUCAGGGGCCCGUAUCUGUACGGUCCUCUGCUCGGCAUCGAGAUCAGAGGUGGCCAGGGAACGGGUCCUGUGGUCACCAGCAGCACUAACCGGGCAGUCCCCAAGUGCCAGGCCUCUCCUGGGUGCUUGCUCGGUCCCGUGGGAUGUCGGUGCAAGCGGGUGACUGCUAGGACCAGACGAGCACUUGCCAAAUGAGGGAACAAAGGGAGAAGCUCACUGCCGCCCUGUGGGGGGUGGGCUGGGACCGGACACCUGAGUCAGGUGGGAGGUGAACGCCCCGGGUUUCCUGACAGGGAAAUCCAAGGCUGGAAGGGGUUGUGAUUUGGCAGAGGGUGACACUUGGGGAGAGUGACACGGAGGGAAGGACAGGACUGGAGCUUGGGGCUUCCUGAUGCCACACCCACACUCUUACUGUCCCAUCGCUGAGCCAGGAGUGGAGGCAGGGGGAGCUGAGGACGUGGAAGGGGUUCCUUAGUCGGGGGAGGUGGGUGGGCGGCUGGCCGUGGGACGUGGCCCACUGUGGCUGGAGUGAGGACAGGUGGCGGUGUUGUGGGGCUGGGCCGCCCUUCCACUCAGAGGUCUGUCAUGCAUUUGAAGGCAGCUUUCCUGUAGUUUCCCCGGGGUUGUCUUCUUCCAGGCCAAAUGUCUCCCUCUCCUCCAGCUGUCCUUCUCAGACAACACAGUAAACCUCCGGGAAAGACAGCAGUGCUCUACAACCUUCCAGAAUGUGGUGUCCAGUGCUCCCACAGGCCCCCGGGGUUGACUGCCCCAUGGAGAGCUGAGUGCAUUUGUCACCUCCCUGCUCCACGACUCCCAUCAGGGUGGCCGGGUCCCCAUCCUCUUCCUGAUGGCCAGCCAUCAACGGAGACCCUCAGUCUGGUUCCAGCUGCCGUCCCCUGGAUCCUGGACGUGAGCCGUUGGCUCUCCUGGACAGGUGCGGGCUUUGUCACUUGGCCUGGCUGCAUUUGGCUUUGACCUGCUGGAGAUCCAGCUCUCCCCCUCCUUCAGUGUCUGCUCCCCUCCCCCUUUGCGUGUGUGAACUGCUGCUUCUAGAAACCUUGAAUCAGACCCUACUGAGAACGUGCAACAGGACAAAGGUUAUGGUGUCAGUUCUUAUCAGGGGUGCUUAUCUCAUGCUUAUCUCCUGUGUGUUCCCAGAAGCUUGCACUGACUCUCAGGGCCUCAGGAGGAGCGGGGCAGAGACCUCAGCAGAGGGGCUGGGGAAGAGGGUGUUGGUGGGGGUUGGGGGGAGUAGCACCUGGGACCCUUGGUGUGAGGCCUCCCAGCUGUCCCACGGGGCAUUGCCGGGGGACAGAGAAGCUGACUGGAUGGGGAGGGGGCCGCUCUGCAAAGUUCUUGGGUACCUUCAAAGCUUAUCUCCUCAUCCCCCACGGCAGCUUAGGUUCUGCUAAAACAGGAAGGGGCAGACCUACCUCCCCCCGCCCCCCCAGAAGACAAGACCUCCUCCCUGCGCCAGCCGCCACAGCGUGUCCCCCUGUCUCCAGGCAGGUCCAGGAAGGGGUGGGGGUGGGCUGGGGGAAUGAACACCUGUGCCAGGUGGGAGGGAGAGUCCCCAGGGAGGGGGGCCACGGCAGCUCGUACCCCACCUUGAGCUCUCCCCGGCAAGCAUUGCAAACAGCAAUGUUUAUCAAAUGUCGGGGAGCAUCGGAACCCUAGGGAGGUGUUGAAACCCAGUCUGGGCUCUGGUCCCAGAAAUUGUUACUCGGUUGGUCUGGAGUAGGCCUGAGAGGCCGCGUUUCUCUAAGCUCAGUGGUGCAGGAAGAGCUUUCCUGCUUCACUUUCCCAGACGGGGUGGGGCCAGGCUCACCACCACCCUGUCAUUUAGUGAUCCACCAAAUAUUUACUGAGUGUUUGCUCUGUGGCCGGAGCUCUGCGUAUAGCAGCGAGCAGGGCAGUUGUGGCCUCUCCCGGGAGGGCGCCUGCAUUGUCUUGGGAGCGCAGAUAUUCAACCCUCGAAUCUUGAAACUUUCCUCGGAGGAAGGCGGAGCGGGAAUCAUUUUCCCUAGUGUCCAGGUGAGGAAAUAGCAUCGCGGAGAGGCCACGUGACCUGCCGGCCCGCGCGCCAUUGGAAGGUGGCAGAACCUGAACUCAGGACGCUAAGUCGAAAUCUGGCUGCCCGGCCCUGGCCAGGAGCCAUCUCUGCUCCAGAAGGUUGUGUCUAGGAGGCAGGGCUACAGGCCUUGGACACGCAUCAGCGGGUGACAGCUGGGGGCUUCAUCCUUGUGUGGGGAUGGAGAACUUGGCGGAGAGAUGUUCCCAUGUCCCCACCCACUACUCUCAGUUCCGAGAUCUGCCUGACUGCAGAGUUUCACAGCUCUGGCCUUUCCUUGGCGGGAUAUCUGCUCCAGGGAGGGAUGCCUCCCCCAACCAAGAUGGCAGCCCUCAUCUCCAUGGCAACCCCUGGACACCUGGCCUUGGUGACCAAGGAGCAAAGUAUGAGGCUCCCUUCCUGAAGCACAGACCAGCGAGGUGGUCCCUGUUUGAAGAUGGGGUCUGCAGGCCCCGUGGCCAGGAAAUCUCAGUUCUCCCCACCUCUGCACCCUCCAGCUGUGCGCUGUGACCAGCCCCGAAUCAGACUGAACUGACUCACUCAGUGUCAGAUGAGUGAGAUGAGGUGUCCCCCGAGCCAACGGUCUUGCUUCUUUGUUCUUCUCACGCGCCUUCCAGAACCUCAAACUCCCCAGGUGCAAGAUGGAGUCGCUGCCCCUGACGCCCCCGCUGGAUCCGCCAGCCUUGUUUUUCUGGAUCUCCCACCCCAAGGCUUGUUCUGUGGAACAGCCGUUGUAGAAACAAACAAGUCUGUUUGUUUACAGACGUUUACAGCUUUUAAAAGCGUAUUGUUUACGGUGAAUUUUCAGGACAUAAAGAUUGUAGCAAUUUACGAGAAGGUAUUUUAUUGCAGUGGAUGGAAAAUACACAAAACAAAAUACACAAUGUCCCUGGAAGUUUAUUUUUUUUUUUUUAAACGUUUUAUGUUUUUAUUUGAGAGAGAGAGGAAGCAUGGGUGGGGGAGGGGUAGAGAGAGAGGGAGAGAAUUCCAAGCAGGCUCUGUGCCGACAGAUGUAGGGCUCGACCCCACCGACUGAGACGGUGAUGUGAGCCGAAAUCAAGAGUUGGGUGCUUAACCGACUGAGCCACCCAGGCGCGCCUGGAAAUUCAGAUGACCGAGAUUCUGCCAGAGUGGUUACCAAGCAUGGAGGCUGUGGCAACAGCCCCCUCGGGAAGUUGCUCCCACCACCCGGGUUUUUAGAGAAGGAACUUGUCCAGGAACAGGCAGCUGGCAAAAGGCACAGAGAGGAUUUGAACGCAGUGCUCCGCCCCCAAAGCAUGUGCGCCUUCACCCGCACCUCCCUGCCCUUGUGUUUUAGCCAUUGGACCUACAUCAAGAAUAAGCCCGGAGGCAGGCAUUCUUGGUCAUUAAGAAAUUGCACACCUUGCAUAGAGAGCAGGCUCUGUUACUUUCAGUUCAAAAUAAAAUAUCACACAAUGCUCAGAUAGUAUCACUCUCUGCCCGAGUGGUUUUAGGCCUCUACCUGCGAGAUGGCUCUGGACAGAUUCGGAUACCCCGCUUUUUUUUUUUUUUUUCUUCCUUUUGAGAUUAGAGACAGAAGGGGUGGGAGACCACAUUCUCUAAAGUUGGCAGCAACGGUAUCUGCCGUCCACGUCCUCUUCUUCCAGUGAGACCUCGACACCCCUUCCCUUGAGUAGCGGGGUCUUUGUCUCUCCUACAUCCAAACCUAGAAGGACCUUUGCGAUGGCUUUGGCCAAAAGAGUAUGGUGUGUGACUUUUUUUUUUUUUUUUUUUUGAGACAGAGAGAGACAGAGCUUGAAUGGGGGAGGGGCAGAGAGAGAGGGAGACACAGAAUCGGAAGCAGGCUCCAGGCUCUGAGCCAUCAGCACAGAGCCCGAUGCGGGGCUCGAACUCACAGACUGUGAGAUCAUGAGCUGAGCCGAAGUCGGACGCUCAACCGACUGAGCCACCCAGGCGCCCCUGGUGUGUGACUUCUGAGGCCGGAUCGUAAGAAUGUCAUGCACGUCUGCCUGGCUCUCGUGGCACGCUCACUCUGGGAACUCAGCUGCCAUGUUGUGAGGAAGCCCCCAUCGUCCUAUGCACCAACCGCAUGGAGAGGCCAGUGAAGGUGUUCCAGCUGACAACCGCAUCGUCUGCCAGGCAUGAGCCAAGAUGUUUCCAGAUCAUCCUAGCCCCCACCUGUCAGGUGACUCCUGAGUUUGCAUCUUUCCAGCAGAGGUCCCCGAAAUCAUGGAGCAGAGGCCACUCUCCCCGCUAUGCCAGGUUCUGCACCACAGGACCUAUGAGCGUAAUAAAAUGGAUGUUUUACAUCACUGGGUUUUGGGGUUGUUUGUUACGAAGCAAUGGUAACUGCAACAGAAGGUAUUUGCUUACAAUCAGGUGUCUACCUCAAGGGGCAACGUCUUGCGCCCUCUCUUGGAGCAGAUGUGAUUGGCAGGGGUGGUGCCUAAUCAGCCUCAUGACUUUAUUGGAAGCAGAUUGGGUGGGCAAGCUUUCCUUGUUCUUUAGUUACAAUAAAUUAAUAUGUAUUACA